UCUAAAUUUUUAGGUUUGGUGAAAUUCAUUUCAUUUGACAUCGUCUCUCUCCUUGUCUUCUCUCAAUUCUCAGUGUUUUUUAUUUGGUGACUUUCUCUCGUCUCCCCUUCUCAGCUCUCUCACCGCGGCUGCCGACCAGCCUCCGCACGACGUUGUUGUCUUCAACGUGAUGUUCGUCUCUCCCUCUCAACUCAUUUAUCUGGUUUUGCAUCUAACCCAGACUUUCUCUUCUCGCAUCUCUAUUCUGUCGUCUCCCCCUCUACGACCAGCGCCGCUGUUGACCGUCUCUCUCUGCUUCUCCGUCUUUUGUAACAGUUGCAGCUGCCAACCGCUAGCGCCUCUUGGUCUUGGUCCUCUUACUAUCUCAAUCUUUUUCUUAUACAUUUUAUUUGAUUGAAUUCUGUAAAUUGUAAAAAAUUUGUGAAUUGAAGCUCCAACUUUUUACAACUUGUCAACUAUGUAUGAAUUGUGUGAUGAUCUAAAAAAAAUAUAUGA
rnacentral:lncRNA from 1 species